UACAGAGGUCUCAAGCGUUGUUCGGAUUCAUUGGGCGUAAAGGGUGCGUAGGCGGCGCGGUAAGUCGGGUGUGAAAUCUCGGAGCUUAACUCCGAAACUGCAUUCGAUACUGCCGUGCUUGAGGACUGGAGAGGAGACUGGAAUUUACGGUGUAGCGGUGGAAUGCGUAGAUAUCGGGAAGAACACCGGUGGCGAAAGCGGCGCACUGGACCACAACUGACGCUGAUGGCGCGAAAGCUAGGGGAGCAAACAGGG
rnacentral:rRNA from 1 species